rnacentral:rRNA from 1 species
UGGGGAAUAUUGCACAAUGGGCGCAAGCCUGAUGCAGCCAUGCCGCGUGUGUGAAGAAGGCCUUCGGGUUGUAAAGCACUUUCAGCGGGGAGGAAGGCGAUAAGGUUAAUAACCUUGUCGAUUGACGUUACCCGCAGAAGAAGCACCGGCUAACUCCGUGCCAGCAGCCGCGGUAAUACGGAGGGUGCAAGCGUUAAUCGGAAUUACUGGGCGUAAAGCGCACGCAGGCGGUCUGUCAAGUCGGAUGUGAAAUCCCCGGGCUCAACCUGGGAUCUGCAUUCGAAACUGGCAGGCUAGAGUCUUGUAGAGGGGGGUAGAAUUCCAGGUGUAGCGGUGAAAUGCGUAGAGAUCUGGAGGAAUACCGGUGGCGAAGGCGGCCCCCUGGACAAAGACUGACGCUCAGGUGCGAAAGCGUGGGGAGCAAACAGG